GAUGAACGCUGGCGGCGUGCCUAAUACAUGCAAGUCGAGCGAACAGAUAAGGAGCUUGCUCCUUUGACGUUAGCGGCGGACGGGUGAGUAACACGUGGGUAACCUACCUAUAAGACUGGAAUAACUCCGGGAAACCGGGGCUAAUGCCGGAUAACAUUUAGAACCGCAUGGUUCUAAAGUGAAAGAUGGUUUUGCUAUCACUUAUAGAUGGACCCGCGCCGUAUUAGCUAGUUGGUAAGGUAACGGCUUACCAAGGCAACGAUACGUAGCCGACCUGAGAGGGUGAUCGGCCACACUGGAACUGAGACACGCUCCAGACUCCUAAGGGAGGCAGCAGUAGGGAAUCUUCCGCAAUGGGCGAAAGCAUGACGGAGCAACGCCGCGUGAGUGAUGAAGGUCUUCGGAUCGUAAAACUCUGUUAUUAGGGAAGAACAAAUGUGUAAGUAACUGUGCACGUCUUGACGGUACCUAAUCAGAAAGCCACGGCUAACUACGUG
rnacentral:rRNA from 1 species